CCAAGGCGACGAUCGGUAGCCGGCCUGAGAGGGUGAUCGGCCACAUUGGGACUGAGAUACGGCCCAGACUCCUACGGGAGGCAGCAGUAGGGAAUAUUGCACAAUGGGGGAAACCCUGAUGCAGCAACGCCACGUGUGGGAAGAAGCAUUUCGGUGUGUAAACCACUGUCAUGAGGGAAUAAGGCCCGUCUUCGGACGGGAUUGAAUGUACCUUGAAAGGAAGCACCGGCAAACUUCGUGCCAGCAGCCGCGGUAAUACGAGGGGUGCAAGCGUUGUUCGGAAUUACUGGGCGUAAAGGGAGCGUAGGCGGAGAUUCAAGCGGAUUGUACAAUCCCGGGGCCCAACCCCGGCUCUGCAGUCCGAACUGGAUCUCUUG
rnacentral:rRNA from 1 species